GGGGCUGCAUUUCUCCCUUCUCAUCCACUCCUCUGCCCUCCCUCAUGGCUGGCUCUGCCUGGCACUGGCAGGCUCCUCAUUCAACACUUCCUAAUGCUCCAGGGGAAAGUCCGGACAGCGCUUUGCUUGUGAGGAAGAGAUGGCAGUGUGGGGGGUGAGUAGGCGGGAUGAGGUCCAGGGGAUGCGAGCAUCAGGGGAAAGUUGCAGGUUGCCGGAAAUAAAAGUUAUAGUGUAGUGAAGAAGAAGCUAAACGAGACGGUGGAUAUGGCCAUGGAGGAAGAAAGAGCUGCUCCAUGAUUCCAUCAGAGCCUGCUUCGGCCUGGCAACGAAGUGGCCAGUGCUGCCCCGGGGCGAGCGGGGCUCGGCCAGGGGCCCUGUGGGGCAGGGUGGGUUCAGCGCAGGAAACAGAGCAUCCCAGGAUGGGUGAGCAUUUCCAGACCCCUGGCACAGCACCAGCUCCACUCUCAGCAUCGUGGUCUUCCUGCAGCCCUAUGGCAUCCACGUGACCCUGGAGAUUGAGCUGCUGGACAAGAUAUCCGCUGGAUUCUGUGGUGUUCAUCUCCUGGAAUGGUUUGAGCUCCACAACAACUUCUUGUUGGUGAUGAAGCAGUGCCAGGACCUAUUUGAUUUCAUUCUGGUGUGGGAGAUCCUAUCAGAAGAGCUAGGUGGUGCAGGAGCUGCUCUGCCAGGUGCUGGAGGACAUGUGGUGUUAUAAGUGUCAUAAGAAAUCUAAUUGUUGUAACAUGUUGAUUAAUUGUUGAUGUCUGGGUUAUAAGUUACUAAUUAUUCAAUAGAAAAUGUUCCUAGUCGUUAGUUAACAUUUGUUGUUAGGGAGUUUGUGUUCUCGUGGGUUUAGAAGGGAAGUGGGCAAAGUCCGGUGAUUGGUGUGGGGGCAGUCAAGUGGAGAUGGGAUGGUGCAGGGCUGGUGGGGUAUUGCGCGGUGGUAAGUUAAAAGAACACUCCAGAACAUGAUGUGCCAGGGGUGAUGUCUGCACCAGAAACAACCAUUGGUGGAAAAGCCAACCAAUCACUCGACGCCCUGGGGGAAUGAUUGGUCUGGAGUGCACCACGCUAAAGACCAAUGACAGCCCGGGAAAUGGACCAAUCAGAGGGCAGAUUGAAAAUGGACCAAUCAUGGACAAGGGGGCAUCUAUAAAAGGAGCAUCGAGCUUCCACUUGGGGUCCUCCUGCAGAGUUUGAUUUAAGGGAGAGUGUUUGGCAUUGCUAUUGCAGAGUUCAGGCUUGUCAUGGGCUCUGGCCUCUGUUGGUGUUUUCCUGUAGUUUGGUUAAUAAAGGGUUUGCCUUUGUUUUUCUACCCAAAAGUCUGAGCCCAUUUAUAACAAUUUUUGGGAACUCGUCUGGAACUAUCAUGCCGGGGAGCAGUCUCGGCAUAGGACGGAUUUGGGUGCGCAUGUAUUUUUUGUCCCCCUGGACUACAUCGAGACCAUGGAAGGGACAGCUGAUAGGACCCGAAGACCAGCAGAGGCACAGCAACCCCACCUCGAGAGGGAGCGAGGCCCACGACACACGGAUGCCAAGAUCCUAAGAAGCAGAUAGAGCAUUCUCCCACACAUCUAGCAAUCAGGCCCUAAAAGAAACAAGCAAAUGGAUACAAAAGGGAAAAUGACAAGCUCCUGCAACAAAGAAGUAAAAUAGUAGCUGGCAAGGAGUGCCAAAAGAAGGGAGGCAUGACUGGAUCAGGAUACACUUCUUGCCACAAAAAGAGCCACAGACCCCAAGGUGAGAGGAGACCAAGGCCUGAGGUCGACAGGUGAACGAACCUCACGUAUUUUGGACCCAGGUUGCUGGCGAUCAGAGGCCUAACAUGGUGUGUACUAUCACAGUGCCGUGGGCACAGCCCUCCCAAAUAAAGGUUAGUGGAAUGAUUGACACAGGGGCAGAUGUCAGCAUCAUCUCUGCCCAAACUUGGCCUUCAUCAUGGCCCACCACAGCUGCGGGAUCCACUGUUGCUGGCCUCGAUGGGACCACGUAGAGCUCUUGGAGCAGUAAGCCUGUGUUGCUGAAAAGUCCAGAGGGUCAGACAGCCACCAUCUGACCUUACUUCACUGCAGCACCACCUAACCUCUUGGGGAGGGAUGUUUUAUCUGCCUGGGGAGUCCGGGUGGGGACAGAUUUUUGAUGGGGCUACUGUUUGAAAGGGCUGUUUGAAAUCUCAUACACUAGUCCUAAAAUGGUUACCUCUCAGCCUCUGUGGGUACCAAAGUGGCCCCUAGAGAAGGAAAAACUACAUGCCCUGAAGUCUUUGAUACAGGAGCAGCUGGUUCAAGGGCACCUAGAACCCUCCACAAGCCCUUGGAAAACCCCGGUGUUCGUCAUCAAAAAGAAGUCGGGGAAAUGGAGGUUGCUCCAGGACCUGAAAAAAAAUCAGUGUAGUCACAGAAACAUGGGAGCUUUACAACCUGCUGUGCCAUCUCCCACAAUGCUUCCUGACAACUUGGACAUUCUGACUGUGGAUCUAAAAGAUUGUUUCUUUCCUAUUCCACUACAGCCAAAUGAUACCUCAAAGUCUGCCUGCACAGUGUCUUCUUUUAAGAACACUGCCCCUUUGGAGCACAAUCAAUGGAAAGUUCCUCCUCAAGGCAUGAAAAAUAGCCCUACCGUUUGCCAAUGGCAUGUUGCUCGGGCAUUCUCAUCAGUAAGGCAACAAUUGCCUUACUGUUAUCAUUAUAUCAUGAUAUGGAUGACAUUUUAAUAGCCACUCUAACUAAGAAGAUCUUUCACUAAUUUGGCCAAGCCUGAUACAAGCAUGAAAAUCAUUUGGGCUGCAAGUGGCACCAGAAAAGCUUCAGCAGCAACCACCUUGGAAGUACCUUGGGCUCAAAAUUAUGCAUCAGACUAUUCAGCCCCAAACAAUUCAAUUCUCAACAAAAAUUAAGAAUUUCAGUGAUGCUCAAAACUUCUUAUCAAGUGGCUCAGAACCUAUCUAGGACCCACCGCUCCACAAUUAGUACCCUUAUUUUGCCUCCUAAAGGGUGAUCUUGAUCUAACUUCCCUCAGGAAGCAAAAAGCCAUUCUUGAAAGAGGAGAGCAGACCCUCACAAACAGACAGGUCCACCGGCUUUUCCCAGAAGUGUGUGUCACUGUGUUUAUAUGCACUGCUGAAUUCCAUCCUGCUGCAAUUAUUGGACAAUGGGGUACUCAGUUGUCUGACCCUUUUGCAUGUUUUAGAAUGGAUGUUCUUACCCCAUCAACCAAAAAAGACAGCCCCUAGCAUCUUUGAAUUAAUUGCCCAGCUAAUCAUGAGAUGUCAUCAAAGGUGCUUACAAGUGACUGCAAAAGAUCCUUCAAAAAUCAUUCUUCCUAUAACACAAGAAGAAUUUGAAUGGUGUUAGGCCAAGAGCACUGCUUUGCCAAGUGCCUUACAAAAUUUCUCAGGGCAAAUCUCUUACCAUCUACCGAGUCAUACGUCACUGCAAUUAAGACCACUGCAGUAUCCCUGAAACUUCUGAAGAGUAGAACUCCCUUAAAAGGUAUUACUGUGUUCACUGUGUUUGCUGACGGUUUGGGAAAAACCACCAGGAAAAGCAAUUGUUCCUUGUGGAAGGAAGAAAGGGAGUGGCAAACAUUAGGUCAUGAAAAGGGGUCAGCUCAGUUAGCUGAGCUACAUGCCAUAACCGUGGCUUUUCAGCGUUUUCCCCAUACUCCUUUAAACACAGUCACUGACUCUGCCGAUGUUGCAGCCAUUACACAGAGAUUAGAUCCAGCUCUAUUAAAGGAAAUUGACAAUGCACAAUUAUUUGGCCUAGUCAAAACCCUGCGGCGUAGCAUUCAAGCAAGAAAUCGUCUUUACUACAUCCUUCACAUCAGAAGCCACACCAGUCUUCCAGGUUUUAUUACAGAGGGCAACGCACCAGCAGAUCACUUAGCUAGCCCCGCCGGCACAGCACCACAACCAGACACACUUGCCCGAGCAAAAGCCUCACACACGCCGCCUUCUUCCAUCAAGGUGUUGCAGCUCCACGGAGGCAAUUUAUGCUGCGGAACACAGAAGCUCGUAACAUAG